rnacentral:rRNA from 1 species
AUUGAACGCUGGCGGCAUGCCUUACACAUGCAAGUUGAACGGCAGCACGGGAGCAAUCCUGGUGGCGAGUGGCGAACGGGUGAGUAAAGUAUCGGAACGUGCCCAGUCGUGGGGGAUAACGUAGCGAAAGUUACGCUAAUACCGCAUACGAUCUAUGGAUGAAAGCGGGGGAUCGCAAGACCUCGCGCGAUUGGAGCGGCCGAUAUCAGAUUAGGUAGUUGGUGGGGUAAAGGCUCACCAAGCCGACGAUCUGUAGCUGGUCUGAGAGGACGACCAGCCACACUGGGACUGAGACACGGCACAGACUCCGACGGGAGGCAGCAGUGGGGAAUUUUGGACAAUGGGCGAAAGCCUGAUCCAGCCAUGCCGCGUGCAGGAUGAAGGCCGUCGGGUUGUAAACUGCUUUUGUACGGAACGAAAAGGUUUGGCCUAAUAAGCUGAGCUCAUGACGGUACCGUAAGAAUAAGCACCGGCUAACUAUGUGCCAGCCGCCGUAAGAC